AUGCUAGCUGGCCGCAGGAAGAAUGCAGGGCACCCACAGCUCACAUCCUGUCCGCCUCCACACUCCCGGCGGGUCUUUUCCUGUUCAGAAGGAGCAGGGCUGGAGCGGCACAGGGCCGGACUCCAGGAACGUCAGACCACCCCAACCUGCGUUCCCAGAACUCCUCUGAGGAAGAGGCUGCCACUGAGCAACAACAAUCCCCUUGCCAUCUGUCCCCAGGACGAAGAGAGCUUGGGAGGUGACAAUAAGCCUGGACUCUCCAGGGUCUGGCGCGGAUGGGUCAGCUCCAGCCCCAAGUCCCCACCUGGGGCUUCUGCAGGCCAGGCCAGUCUGCAGCGGCUCCAAGCUCCUGCCCGGAACACACUGGAAACUCAUCAAUCACCCCCAGCCCUGCCCAAGGAUGGAAGGGCUUGGAGCCUAGUUCAGCUCGGCUACUUGUAAUCCAAGGCUAUAGCCAGGGGUCCCC
rnacentral:lncRNA from 1 species